GAUGAACGCUAGCGGCAGGCCUAACACAUGCAAGUCGAGGGGCAUCAUGGCGUAGCAAUACGCUGAUGGCGACCGGCGCACGGGUGCGUAACGCGUAUGGAACCUACCCACCGCAGGGGGAUAACCCGCCGAAAGGCGGACUAAUACCCCAUGGUUCCCCGACCCUGCCUGGGGUUGGGGGUAAAGCCUACGGGCGGCGGUGGAUGGCCCUGCGUGCCAUUAGCUGGCUGGUGGGGUAACGGCCCACCAGGGCGACGAUGGCUAGGGGGUCUGAGAGGACGAUCCCCCACACUGGUACUGAGACACGGACCAGACUCCUACGGGAGGCAGCAGUGAGGAAUAUUGGUCAAUGGGCGGAAGCCUGAUCCAGCGACGCCGCGUGGAGGACGAAGCCCUUCGGGGUGUAAACUCCUUUUCUCAGGGAAAAGGAUGAUGGUACCUGAGGAAUAAGCCCCGGCUAACUACGUGCCAGCAGCCGCGGUAAGAGUCACGUCG
rnacentral:rRNA from 1 species